rnacentral:rRNA from 1 species
GCCAGCAGCCAUAUCACCCUGCAGCUGCCAACUGGCUCCCCACUGAAGCUCAGCAGGGUUGAGCCUGGUCAGGACCUGGAUGAGAGACUCCUUGGAAGCUAUGGUUGGUGCUGGAA